rnacentral:tRNA from 1 species
CACUAGGAAGCUAAAUCGGGCCUAGCGCCAGCCUUUUAAGCUGGAGACUGGUGGCCCCCAACCACCUCUAGUGA